ACGAAGGGGGCUAGCGUUGUUCGGAAUUACUGGGCGUAAAGCGCGCGCAGGCGGUUCUUCAAGUCAGAGGUGAAAGCCCAGGGCUCAACCCUGGAAUGGCCUUUGAGACUAGAGGACUUGGGUACGGGAGAGGUGAGUGGAAUUCCGAGUGUAGAGGUGAAAUUCGUAGAUAUUCGGAAGAACACCAGUGGCGAAGGCGGCUCACUGGCCCGUUACCGACGCUCAGGCGCGACAGCGUGGGGAGCAAACAGGA
rnacentral:rRNA from 1 species